rnacentral:rRNA from 1 species
UACGGGGGGAGCAAGCGUUGUUCGGAUUUACUGGGCGUAAAGGGCGCGUAGGCGGCCAGCACAAGUCAGUUGUGAAAUCUCCGAGCUUAACUCGGAACGGUCAACUGAUACUGUGCGGCUAGAGUGCGGAAGGGGCAACUGGAAUUCUUGGUGUAGCGGUGAAAUGCGUAGAUAUCUGGAGGAACACCGGUGGCGAAGGCGGCAUCCUGGACCAAUACUGACGCUGAGGAGCGAAAGCCAGGGGAGCAAACGGG